AGUGAACGCUGGCGGUAGGCCUAACACAUGCAAGUCGAACGGCAGCACAGUAAGAGCUUGCUCUUACGGGUGGCGAGUGGCGGACGGGUGAGGAAUACAUCGGAAUCUACUUUUUCGUGGGGGAUAACGUAGGGAAACUUACGCUAAUACCGCAUACGACCUACGGGUGAAAGCAGGGGAUCUUCGGACCUUGCGCGGUUGAAUGAGCCGAUGUCGGAUUAGCUAGUGGGCGGGGUAAAGGCCCACCAAGGCGACGAUCCGUAGCUGGUCUGAGAGGAUGAUCGGCCACACUGGAACUUGGACACGGUCCAGACUCCUGCGGGAGGCAGCAGUGGGGAAUGUUGGACAAUGGGCGCAAGCCUGAUCCAGCCAUACCGCGUGGGUGAAGACGGCCUUCGGGUUGUAAAGCCCUUUUGUUGGGAAAGAACAGCAGCAGGUUAAUACCCCGCUGUUCUGACGGUACCCAAAGAAUAAGCACCGGCUAACUUCGUG
rnacentral:rRNA from 1 species